AGGCUCAGAACGGUUUUUCCACCGCCAUGGUGAUUGUGUACCUGGACAGCGCCAGCGGGCUGCCAAAAAAUCAUCUGGAAUAUUCCAACAAUGACACCGCAGGCAGGAAGCAGAGAUACACCGUGCCCCCCAUGUCUGAAAGGGAACCGUCAUCGUACGUCACCAUGACCAUCGGGAAG